GGACCCGCACAAGCGGUGGAGCAUGUGGUUUAAUUCGAUGCAACGCGAAGAACCUUACCUGGUCUUGACAUCCUGCGAACUUUCUAGAAAUAGAUUGGUGCCUUCGGGAACGCAGUGACAGGUGCUGCAUGGCUGUCGUCAGCUCGUGUCGUGAGAUGUUGGGUUAAGUCCCGUAACGAGCGCAACCCUCGUCCCUAUUUGCCAGCACUUCGGGUGGGAACUCUAGGGAGACUGCCGGUGACAAACCGGAGGAAGGUGGGGACCGACGUCAAGUCAUCAUGCCCCUUAUAUCCAGGGCUGCAAACAUGCUACAAUGGCCGGUACAAAGGGCUGCGAAACCGCGAGGUCAAGCGAA
rnacentral:rRNA from 1 species